rnacentral:rRNA from 1 species
CACAAGCUUUCCGUAGGUGAACCUGCGGAAGGAUCAUUGUCGUGACCCUGACCAAAACAGACCGCGCACGCGUCAUCCAAUCCGUCGGCGACGGCACCGUCCGUCGCUCGGCCAAUGCCUCGACCACCUCCCCUCCUCGGAGCGGGUGGGGGCUCGGGGUAAAACAACCCACGGCGCCGAAGGCGUCAAGGAACACUGUGCCUAACCCGGGGGCAUGUCUAGCUUGCUAGCCGUCCCUCGUGUUGCAAAUCUAUUUAAUCCACACGACUCUCGGCAACGGAUAUCUCGGCUCUCGCAUCGAUGAAGAACGUAGCGAAAUGCGAUACCUGGUGUGAAUUGCAGAAUCCCGCGAACCAUCGAGUCUUUGAACGCAAGUUGCGCCCGAGGCCACUCGGCCGAGGGCACGCCUGCCUGGGCGUCACGCCAAAACACGCUCCCAACCACUCUCAACGGGAAUCGGGAUGCGGCAUCUGGUCCCUCGUCUCUCAAGGGACGGUGGACCGAAGAUUGGGCUGCCGGCGUACCGCGCCGGACACAGCGCAUGGUGGGCGUCCUCGCUUUAUCAAUGCAGUGCAUCCGGCGCGCAGCUGGCAUUAUGGCCUUUGAACGACCCAACAAACGAAGCGCACGUCGCUUCGACCGCGACCCCAGGUCAGGCGGGACUACCCGCUGAGUUUAAGCAUAUCAAUAAGCGGAGGAGGAUCCGUG